rnacentral:rRNA from 1 species
UACGAAGGGGGCUAGCGUUGCUCGGAAUCACUGGGCGUAAAGGGUGCGUAGGCGGAUCUUUAAGUCAGAGGUGAAAGCCUGGAGCUCAACUCCAGAACUGCCUUUGAUACUGGGGAUCUCGAGUCCGGGAGAGGUGAGUGGAACUGCGAGUGUAGAGGUGAAAUUCGUAGAUAUUCGCAAGAACACCAGUGGCGAAGGCGGCUCACUGGCCCGGAACUGACGCUGAGGUGCGAAAGCGUGGGGAGCAAACAGGG